rnacentral:rRNA from 1 species
GCUUGUCUCAAAGAUUAAGCCAUGCAUGUCUUAGUGUAAAUAACUCUUAUGAAACUGCGAAUGGCUCAUUAAAUCAGUUAUCAAAUACGUGAUGGUCGCCUACUACAUGGAUAACCGUAGUAAUUCUAGAGCUAAUACAUGCACAAAGGCCCACUCACGUGGGUUGUGAUUAUUAGAUUCAAACCGGCCUCGUUCUGGUGAUUCAUAAUAACUGAUCGAAUCGUUCAGCACCCGCUGGCGGUGAGUCAUUCAGGUUUCUGACCUAUCAGCUUCCGUCGGUAGGGUAUUGGCCUACCGUGGCGAUGACGGGUAACGGAGAAUUAGGGCUCGAUUCCGGAGAGGGAGCCUGAGAAAUGGCUACCACAUCUAAGGAAGGCAGCAGG